rnacentral:rRNA from 1 species
UACGUAGGGUGCGAGCGUUGUCCGGAAUUAUUGGGCGUAAAGAGCUCGUAGGCGGUCUGUUGCGUCGGCUGUGAAAACCCGGGGCUCAACUCCGGGCCUGCAGCCGAUACGGGCAGACUAGAGUUCGGCAGGGGAGACUGGAAUUCCUGGUGUAGCGGUGAAAUGCGCAGAUAUCAGGAGGAACACCGGUGGCGAAGGCGGGUCUCUGGGCCGAUACUGACGUGAGGAGCGAAAGCGUGGGGAGCGAACAGG